rnacentral:rRNA from 1 species
GAUGAACGCUGGCGGCGUGCUUAACACAUGCAAGUCGAACGGUGAAGGCGGAGCUUGCUCUGCUGGAUCAGUGGCGAACGGGUGAGUAACACGUGAGCAAUCUGCCCCUGACUCUGGGAUAAGCGCUGGAAACGGCGUCUAAUACUGGAUACGAGCUGCGAAGGCAUCUUCAGCAGCUGGAAAGAAUUUCGGUCAGGGAUGAGCUCGCGGCCUAUCAGCUUGUUGGUGAGGUAAUGGCUCACCAAGGCGUCGACGGGUAGCCGGCCUGAGAGGAUGACCGGCCACACUGGGACUGAGACACGGCCCAGACUCCUACGGGAGGCAGCAGUGGGGAAUAUUGCACAAUGGGCGAAAGCCUGAUGCAGCAACGCCGCGUGAGGGACGACGGCCUUCGGGUUGUAAACCUCUUUUAGCAGGGAAGAAGCGAAAGUGACGGUACCUGCAGAAAAAGCGCCGGCUAACUACGUG